rnacentral:rRNA from 1 species
GCUAAGAAUAUUCCGCAAUGGACGAAAGUCUGACGGAGCGACGCCGCGUGGAUGAAGAAGGCCGAAAGGUUGUAAAAUCCUUUUGCUGGGGAAGAAUAAGGUGGGGAGGAAAUGCCCUAUCGAUGACAUGAACCGGUGAAUAAGCCCCGGCUAACUACGUGCCAGCAGCCGCGGUAACACGUAGGGGGCGAGCGUUGUUCGGAAUUAUUGGGCGUAAAGGGCAUGUAGGCGGUUGGGAAAGCCCGACGUGAAAUCCUGCAGCUUAACUGUAGAAUUGCGUUGGGAACUAUCCGACUAGAAUCGUGGAGGGGGAGCUAGAAUUCCAGGUGUAGGGGUGAAAUCUGUAGAUAUCUGGAAGAAUACCGGUGGCGAAGGCGAGCUCCUGGCCAAUGAUUGACGCUGAGGUGCGAAAGCGUGGGGAUCAAACAGGAUUAGAUACCCCUGUAGUCC